rnacentral:rRNA from 1 species
CCUACGGGCGGCAGCAGUGGGGAAUAUUGCACAAUGGGCGCAAGCCUGAUGCAGCCAUGCCGCGUGUGUGAAGAAGGCCUUCGGGUUGUAAAGCACUUUCAGCGGGGAGGAAGGCGGUGAGGUUAAUAACCUCAUCGAUUGACGUUACGCGCAGAAGAAGCACCGGCUAACUCCGUGCCAGCAGCCGCGGUAAUACGGAGGGUGCAAGCGUUAAUCGGAAUUACUGGGCGUAAAGCGCACGCAGGCGGUCUGUCAAGUCGGAUGUGAAAUCCCCGGGCUCAACCUGGGAACUGCAUUCGAAACUGGCAGGCUAGAGUCUUGUAGAGGGGGGUAGAAUUCCAGGUGUAGCGGUGAAAUGCGUAGAGAUCUGGAGGAAUACCGGUGGCGAAGGCGGCCCCCUGGACAAAGACUGACGCUCAGGUGCGAAAGCGUGGGGAGCAAACAGGAUUAGAUACCCUAGUAGUC